UACGGGGGGGGCAAGCGUUGUUCGGAAUUACUGGGCGUAAAGGGCUUGUAGGUGGCCAACUAAGUCAGACGUGAAAUCCCUCGGCUUAACCGGGGAACUGCGUCUGAUACUGGAUGGCUUGAGUGUGGGAGAGGGAUGCGGAAUUCCAGGUGUAGCGGUGAAAUGCGUAGAUAUCUGGAGGAACACCGGUGGCGAAGGCGGCAUCCUGGACCAAAACUGACACUGAAAAGCGAAAGCCAGGGGAGCAAACGGG
rnacentral:rRNA from 1 species